GAACGGGCAACUCAGCCAGCUCCACCAGGGACAGUCCCCCCCCUCAUUUCUUCAGGCUUCAUUUUCAUACCAGGAGUGGAGCAACUUGAGUAAUAAACAGUCCUCCUUCCCGACCCUUCAAGCUGACAUCCCCGGCUUGCAGUUACUACUCUAGACUGGCCUGCUACUUCAGCUACUGCAGGCAGUGAGCCUCCUAAGGCCUGGCCUCAUCCUGUCUCCCAACAGGAAUCCUUGGAAUCCUUACCCACUGGCCACUGUGCUGGUCCUCCAGGUGACACCGCCAUCUGCCCGUUGUUUCGGCCUGGCCUCAUCCUGUCUCCCAACAGGAAUCCUUGGAAUCCUUACCCACUGGCCACUGUGCUGGUCCUCCAGGUGACACCGCCAUCUGCCCGUUGUUUCGGCCUGGCCUCAUCCUGUCUCCCAACAGGAAUCCUUGGAAUCCUUACCCACUGGCCAGUGUGCUGGUCCUCCAGGUGACACCGCCAUCUGCCCGUUGUUUCGGCCUGACCUUUGGAAUCUAUGUGACUCCUUUCCUAUUCUUACAUGCUACAUGUAAUUUGUCAACAAAUCCUGCUGUCUCUACCUUAGAAAUGACAUGAGGAUCUGUGUCUCACACCUCUACUACUACAUCCUGGUGGGAGCCACCAUUGCCUCUCACCUGCAACUGGCCCACCUGGUGCACUUCUGCCCUGUUACAGCCUCUCUACACACAGCAGCCAGAAGGUUCCUUCCAAAUCAGGAGUCAGGUCAUGUUUCUCUUCUGAAGAUCCUGCAAUAUCUCCCAUUUCACUGAGUAAAAGCCUCCAUUUUACAAGGACCACCCAGCAAGUUCUCCCCGUCUAGCUAGCUCUGUCAUCUUUCUGACCUCAUCUACCCCCCACUCUUUGGCCACACUACAGAAAGCCAGAGCAAAGAAAUCAGAGGUGAUAUGAAAAGGAAGAUUUGAAAUAUGAAGGAUGGAAUGGAAUGCUUCAACUCCAGAUCUGCUUUCUUUGUUUUUUGAGACAGAGUCUCACUCUGUUACCCAGGCUGGAGUGCAGUGGCAUGAUCUCGGCUCACUGCAACAUCCACCUCCCAGGUUCAAAUGAUUCUCCUGCCUCUGCCUCCUGAGUAGCUAGGAUUAUAGAUGUGUGCUACCAUGUUUGGCUAAUUUGUUUGUAUUUUUAGUAGAGACAGAGUUUCACCAUGUUGGUCAUGCUGGUCUCGAACUCCUGACCUUGUGAUCUGCCCACCUUGGCCUCACAAAAUGCUGGAAUUACAGGUGUGAGCCACUGUGCCCAGCCUGCUUUGUUUGUUACAUGCAGCCAGAACAGCCACAGAGCCAUCAUGAGCUCUGCCCAGUGGCAUACAGGAGUGCCUGGUUUUCGGCAUCUCAGGCCCAUCUGUUUGUUUGUUGUAGUACUUUCUUUUUCAUUAGUAUUCUUUCCCAAUUUUUUCUUAAAGACAGAGUCUCGCUGUGUUACCCAGGCUGGAGUGCACUGGCAUGAUUUUGGCUCACUGCAGCCUCUCUGCCUCCUGAGCCACCGUGCCUGGCUUUUUUUUUUUUUUUUUUUUAAUUAUUCUGUUAUUUUCCAAAGACUAUAUAAAGAAACAAAUUAUCCUCAGGGUGAAAGUACCUGCUGACUCUUAAAAUGUUAACUUUAUUGCCCCCAGUCAGGUGAACCUCAGGUGGAAGUGGGUCACAUUCCAGGCUGGUUCUCAUGUGUCUUAAAUUCUUCUUUUUUUUUUGAGACAGAGUUUUGCUCUUGUUACCCAGGCUGGAGUGCAAUGGCAUGAUCUUGGCUCCUGGGUUCAGGCAAUUCUCCUGCCUCAGCCUCCUAAGUAGCUGGGAUUACAGGUGCGCGCCACCAUGCCCAGCUAAUUUUUUGUAUUUUUUUUAAAGAUACGGGGUUUCACCAUGUUGACCAGGAUGGUCUCGAUCUCUUGACCUCAUGAUCCACCCGCCUUGGCCUCCCAAAGUGCUGGGAUUACAGGCUUGAGCCACCGUGCCAUAGUGUGUCUUAAAUUCUAAAGAAUGUAGUGAAGAUAAAGAUGUCAGCUGAUAAUCCCCAGUUAUUUGCUGAUAGCAGAUAAUAAACUGGCAGGGGUAGCCCUUUUCAAAGAGCCUUGUAGCAUAAGCUGGUACCACCUCGAAAUGGUUAGCAAGUCCCAUCUCCUAGUGUCAGACAGGGAAUGACUGUGCUCCACCACUGCAUUGAUUUCCUCUAAAAGAGGCUGAGGAACUGUCAUAAAACAACAAAAACUUUUCAAAGUUUUGGUUGGGUGUGGUGGCUAAUGUCUGUAAUCCCAACCCAAGGUGGAAGGAUUGCUUGAGGGCAGUAGUUUGAGACCAGCCUGGGCAGAGGCCACUUCUCUACAAAAUUAAGCAAUUAGCUGCGCAUGGUGGCAUGCACCUAUAGUCCCAGUUACUUGGGAGGCUGAGGUGGGAGGAUUGCUUGAGCCCAGAAGGUUGGGGCUGCAGUGAGGCAUGAUUGUGCCACUCACUGCUCUCAAGCCUGUGUGACAGACCAAGACUCUGCCUCUAAAAAGAAGAAGAAAGAAAAAGAAAAUUGGCAAACAAUUAUAUUAGCAUGUGCGUGUACUUGUAUUUGGCAGGAUCACUUCAAAGUAUAUUACAGAGAUUACAACAUUUUAUCCCUUCCAACUUGAGCAUGCAUCUCCAAAAAAUAAGGAUGUUCAUCUGCAUAUUCACAAUAUUGUUAUACCUGAGAAAAGUAAAUUUAAUUCCCUAAUAUCACUUAACAUUCGCUCAGGUGCCAUGACUCACACCUAUAUCCCAGCACUUUGGAAGGCCGAGGCUGGUGGAUUGCUUGAGCCCAGGAGUUCGAGACCAGCCUGGGCAACAUGUCAAGACCUCAUGUCUUCAAACACUACAAAAAUUAGCAGGUGUGAGGCACCUGCCUGUGGUUCCAACACUCGGGAGGCUGAGGUGGGAGGAUUGCUUGAGUCUGACGGGUUAAGACUGAAGUGAACUAUGAUUGCACCACUGUACUCUAGGCUGGGUGACAGAGUAACCUUGUCUUUAAAAGAGGUGUGUUGCCAUGCGUGGUGGCUCAUGCCUGUAAUCCCAGCACUUUGGGAGGCUGAGGAGGGCAGAUCAUCUGAGGUCAGGAGUUUAAGACCAGCCUGGCCAACAUGGAGAAAACGCGUCUCUACUAAAAAUACAAACAUUAGGCAGGUGUGGUGGUGGACACCUGUAGUCCCAGCUACUUUUCAGAGGCUGAGGCAGGAGAAUCACUUGAACCCAGGAGGCAGAGGUUGCAGUGGGCCGAAAUUGCGCCACUGCUCUCCAGCCUGGUUGACAGAGUGAGACUGUCUCAAAAAAAAAAGGUGGGCCGGGCCCGGUGGCUCACGCCUGUAAUCCCAGCACUUUGGGAGGCUGAGGCACAUGGAUCAUGAGGUCAAGAGAUCAAGACCAUCCUGGUCAACCUGGUGAAACCCCGUCUCUACUAAAAAUACAAAAAUUAGCUGGGCAUGGUGGCGCGUGCCUGUAAUCCCAGCUACUCAGGAGGCUGAGGCAGGAGAAUUGCCUGAUCCCAGGAGGCAGAGGUUGCGGUGAGCUGAGAUCGCGCCAUUGCACUCCAGCCUUGGUAACGAGCGAAACUCCUUCUCAAAAAAAAAAAAAAGUGUAUGGAGGGUGGGGCUGGGGGAAGAGAAUGAGAAAGUAGAGGAAAAACAGUUUAAAAUGUGGGUUUUUCGUGAAACACAAACUCUUCAACCCUUUUUUUAACUGUAAUUAAAUAAAAAUUAUAAAAGUAUUUGACCUAAUAUGCUGUUUCUUGUUUGUUUUUGAGACAGGGUCUUGCUGUGUUGCCCAGGUUUGAGUGCAGUGGUGCGGUCUUGGCUCACUACAGCCUCCACCUCCUGGGCUCCAGGGAUCCUUCUACCUCAGCCUUCCAUGUAGCUGGGACUGCAGAUAUGAGCCACCACCCCAGCUAAUUUUUAAAUUUUUUGUAGAGAUGGGGUCUUGCCAUGUUGCUCAGGCUGGUCUCAAACUCCUGGGCUCAAGUGACCUGCCCGCCUUGGCCUUCCAAAGUACUGGGAUUAUAGGCAUAAGCCACUGCCCCUGGCCAGCCUUUUUUCACCUAAUCAUUUUAGCAUCCAUUGAUGACCUUUGCCUGAGUGAAUUGUUUCAUUGGAGUUUUCAAAAUGAUGACUAUUUUUAAUUCUUUUUUUUUUUUUUUUGAGACGGAGUUUCGCUCCUGUUACCCAGGCUAGAGUGCAAUGGCGCGAUCUCCGCUCACUGUAACCUCCGCCUCCUGGGUUCAGGCAGUUCUCCUGCCUCAGCCUCCUGAGUAGCUGGGAUUACAGGCACGCGCCACCAUGCCCAGCUAAUUUUUGUAUUUUUAGUAGAGACGGGGUUUCACCAUGUUGACCAGGAUGGUCUUGAUCUCUUGACCUCGUGAUCCACCCGCCUCGGCCUCCCAAAGUGCUGGGAUUACAGGCUUGAGCCACCGCACCCGGCCCUGACUAUUUUUAAUUUUUUGAGACAGCUUGAAUUCAGUCACACAGGCUGGAGUGCAGUAGCACAUUCCUGGCUUACUCCAGCUUCAACCUCCCAGGCUCAAUUGAUCCUCCCUCCUCAGCCUCCCAAGUAGCUUGGACUACAGGCACACACCACCACACACAGCUAAUUUUUGUAGAGAUGGGCGUUUGCCAUGUUGCCCAGGCUGGCCUUGAACUCCUGGGCUCAAGCAAUCCUCCUGCCUCAGCCUCCCAAAGUGCUAGGAUUACAUGUGUGAGCCACUGCAACCAGCCACAAGCAGAUCUUGUUUGUUUGCUUGCUUGUUUGUUUUUGAGAUGGAGUUUCGCCUUUGUCUUGAGACAGGGUUUCACCAUGUUGGUCAGGCUGGUCUCGAACUCCUGACUUCAGAUAAUCCACCCGCCUUGGCCUCCCAAAGUACUGGGAUUACAGACAUGAGCCACUGCACCCAGCAAACGUUCUUUACUAAUUUCCCUUUUUUGAUAAAAAAAUCUUUCUUCUUGAAGUAAUUGAUAACACUUUGAGUGCCAAGGUUGCCAAGGUACCAGGAAAACUCAUUUCUAGAUAAUUCUGUCAAAGUCAUUGAUCUAUAGCUGAUGUCACUUUUUAAUUUGAAAAACGAGAGAUGCAUAGUAAAAAUAUAAUAUAUAUAAGACUUACAAUACUUUGUUUUCCUCUGUUUUUUUGGGACAGAGUCUUGCUAUGUCACUCAGGCUGGUGUGCAGUGGUGUGAUCUUUGCUCACUGCAACCUCCACCUCUGGGUUCAAUUGAUUCUCCUGACUCAGCCCCCUGAGUAGUUGGGAUUAUAGGCAUGUGCCACCAACCUAGCUAAUUGUUUUUUUUUCCCCCUGAGACUGAGUCUUGCUCUAUUGCCCAGGCUGGAGCACAGUGGUGCUGUUAUACCAAAGUGCUGGGAUUACAAGGCGUAAGCCAUGGUGCCUGGCCUAAUUGUGGAAUUUUUGUAGAGACAGGGUUUCACUAUGUUGACCAGGCUGGUCUCAAACUCCUGACCUCAGGUGAUCCACCCGCCUCAGCCUCCCAAAGUGCUAAAAUUAUAGGUGUGAGCCACUGCAUCCAGACAAGGCUUAUAAUCCAAAAGAAAAUUUGUAUGCCAGAAUUAAAACAGACGACCAAAACAUAUUCCAUUGAAGAGUCAAUUAAAAAUAUCUUGAAGAAAAUUAAAACCCGGUCCUACUUUAGAGACCUGUUGUAGCCAGGAAAUUAUUAAAGAUUUAGUUCAAAUUGUAGGAGAAUAAUAAAAAGUAAAAAACAAUGAAUACGACCGGAAUUCAAUAACAGGUUGUGAAAGGAAGAUAAAUCUUGGGACCCCAAAAUCACUAAGCCAAAGGAAGAGUCAAGCUGGAAGCUACGUCAGGCAAACCUGCCUCCCAGUCCUAAAUAAGAUAGCUGAAAAGAUAAAAGAGCUACAUACCACCCGGGCACGGUGGCUCACACCUGUAAUCCCAGCACUUUGGGCAGCCGAGGCAGGUGAAUCACUUGAGGCCAAGAGUUUGAGACCAGCCUGGCCAACAUGGUGAAACGCCAUCUCUACUAAAAAUACAAAAAUUAGCCAGGUGUGGUGGCGCGCACCUGUGAUCCCAGCUAGGGAUUACUUGGGAGGCAGAGGCAGAGGCUGCAGUGAGUUGAGAUCAUGCCACUCAACUCUAGCCUGGGUGCCUCAUGCCUGUAAUCCUAGCAAUUUGGGAGCGUAAGGCAGGUAGCUCACCUAAGGUCAGGAGUUCAUGACCAGCCUGACCAAUAUGGUGAAAACCCGUCUCUAUUAAAAAUACAAAAAUUAGCUGGGCAUGGUGGUGGGCACCUGUAAUCCCAGCUAUUUGGGAGGCUGAGGAGGGAGAUCCAGCCACUGCACUCCAGCCUGGGUGACAGAGUGAAACUCUGUUUUAAAAAAAAAAAAAGUGCUCUUUUCCACUCAGGCCCGUGACGCCGGCAGGAUGGGCAAGUGUCGUGGACUUUGUACUGCUAGGAAGCUCCGAAGCCACCGAUGAAACCAGAAGUGGCAGGAUAAACAGUACAGGAAAGCCCAUUUGGGCACAGCCCUGAAGGCCAACCCUUUUGGAGGUGCUUCUCAUACAAAAGGAAUCAUGCUAGAAAAAGUAGGAGUUGAAGCCAAGCAGCCAAAUUCUGCCAUUAGGAAGUGUGUCAGGGUCCAGCUGAUCAAGAAUGGCAAUAAAAUCACAGCCUUUGUACCCAAUGAUGGUUGCUUGAACUUUAUUGAGGAAACGAAGUUCUGGUUGCUGGAUUUGGUUGCAAAGGUCAUGCUGUUGGUGAUAUUCCUAGAGUCAAAGUAGCCAGUGUCUCUCUUUUGGCCCUAUACAAAAGCAAGGAGGAAAGACCAAGGUCAGACAUUUUAAUGGUGAAAACACUGUAGUAAUAAAUUUUCAUAUGCCAAAAACCAAAAACAAAAAUAAGACAAAAAACCCACAGGGUAUACUAUAGUUUUCUUCUGAAGUAAUUUUUCUCUCUCCUGUUCUUUUUACCAAGGAUGAAUGUUACUAGGACAAAUGUACUUAUAAAGUAAGUUAUUAUACGUGGCCUGAUUAUUUGCAUAAAAUACAAGAAUUGUGAUUGGCCAUAUAGGUUGAAUUUUGCAUUAGAUUUUCAAAAGCCUCUUGAGGCUCAGAAACCAAGCCAAGUAUUUUUCUGACUGUGCCUGUCAUACCGAUACAAAUUGGGUGAAUUCCUUUCUUCUCAAGGUCACAAAAUACCUCGAGGUUUCUGUAAUCCCAGCUCUUUGGGAAGCUGAGUGGGAGAAUCACUUGAUCCUGGCAAGUUGAGUCUCCAGUGAGCUAUGAUUGCACCACUACACUUUUAGUUUGGGCAACAGAGUGAGACCUUGUCACAAUAAAAAUAAAAUAGUCGACCUCAAUUCCCCAAAACACUCUGGAAAUAUUGGAAAAUAUGUGAUUCUAGUCAAAACCAUGGUAAAAUAGUUGUAUCUAAUUGUGUACUGUUACAAAAUAAAACAGAUUCUUACCCAAAUAACUAUUUUGCCAUAAAUUAAUAGUACUCAUAGUUUCCAAAUUUUAGAGAAAUGAAGAGAAAGUCAUGUUUUUUUCUCUCUUUUUUUGACAGUGUCUUGCUCUGUUCUCCAGGCUGGAGUGACUCACUGCACCAUCCAGCUCCCUGGUUCAAGUAAUUCUCACGCCUCAGCCUCUGAGUAGCUGGGAUUACAGGCAUGCAUCACCAUGCCUGGCUAAUUUUGUAUUUUUAGUAGAGACAGGUUUUCACCAUGUUGGUCAGGCUGGUCUUGAACUCCCAGCCUCAGGUGAUCUGUCCACCUUGGCCUCCCAAAGUGCUGGAUUACAGGCUUGAGCCACCACGCCUGGACAAAAUUUAUUUAUUUUUUAUCACUAUUAUUUAUUGUUUUUGAGAAUUUCUCUUACUUUUCUGCCAGCUAAGAAAGAUGUUUUAAGAAAUACAAAAAUUAGCCAGUCGUGGUGGCUGGCACAUGUAAUCCCAGCUACUUGGGAGGCUGAGGCAGAGAAUUUCUUGAACCCAGGAGGCAGUGAGCUGAGAUCGUGCCACUGCACUCCAGCCUGGGUGACAGAGCAAGACUCUAUCUCAAAAAAAAGAAAUAUAUGCUAGGCCAGGUGUGGUGGCUCAUGCCUAUAAUCCCAUCACUUUGGGAGUCCAAGGCAGGCAGAUCACUUUGAUGUCAGGAGUUUGAGACCAGCCUGGCCAAUAUGGUAAAACCCCAUCUCAGGCAGGGCUCAGUGGCAGAAUGCUUGUAAUCCCAGCACUUUGGGAGGCUGAGGUGGGUGAAUCACCUGAAGUCAGGAGUUUGAGACCAGCCUGACCAACAUGCUGAAACCCUGUCUCUACUAAAAAUAGAAAAAAUUAACUGGGCCUGGUGGCGGGCGCCUGUAAUCCGGCUACUUGAGAGGCUGAGGCAGGAGAAUCACUUGAAUCUGAGAGGUGGAGGUUGCAGUGGGUUGAGAUAAUGCCACUGCACUCCAGUCUGGGCAACAGAGCAAGACUCUGUCUCAAUAAAAAAGAAAAAAACCCAGAAUAUCAGGAAAAGGAAGACCUGUACUUCUUUUGUGAGAAUUUGAGUCUACUGUGUGGUUUGUUGUUGUUGAAAAGAUGUCGAAGCUUUUGCUUUGAUCUUCCUUCCCAAUCCUUUUUUGGGCAAAAAUUAUUAGACAGCCAUGGAUGGGUCAUGCCUAUAAUUCUAGAACUUUGGGAGGCCGAGUGGGUGGGGAGGUAGAGGAUCACUUGACCCCAGGAGUUCAAGACCAACCUGGGCAACAUAGUGGGACCCUGUCUCUUCAAAAAUAAAAAUAUGUGCUGGGCUUGGUGGCACGCGCCUACUCAGGAGGCUGAGGUGGGAGGAUUGCUUAAACCGAGGUGGUCAAGGCUGCAGUGAGCUGUGAUCAUACUACUGCACUCCAGCCUGAGUGACAGAGUAAGCCCCUGUCUCAAAAAAAAAAAAAAAAUAUAUAUAUAUAUAUAUAUAUAUGGCCCGGUACGGUGGUUCACGCCUGUAAUCCCAGCACUUUUGGAGGACGAGGCGGGUGGAUCAUGAGGUUAAAAGAUUGAGACCAUCCUGGUCAACAUGGUGAGACCCCGUCUCUACUAAAAAUACAAAAAAUUAGCUGGGCAUGGUGGCGCGUGCCUGUAAUCCCAGCUACUUGGGAGGCUGAGGCAGGAGAAUUGCCUGAACCCAGGAGGCAGAGGUUGCAGUGAGCCGAGAUUGCGCCAUUGCACUGUAGCCUGGGUAGCAAGAGUGAAACUCCGUCUCGGGGAAAAAAAAAAAACAAAACUGACUUUUUCCUAUUCCCUUCUUGUAUUUUUUUUUUUUUGAGACAGAAUUUCUCUGUUGUUACCCAGACUGGAGUGCAAUGGCACGAUCUCGGCUCACCGCAACCUCUGCCUUCUGGGUUCGAGCAAUUCCCCAACCUCAGCCUCCCGGAUAGCUGGGACUACAGGCGCGAACCACCAUGCCCAGCUAAUUUUUUUGUAUUUUUAGUAGAGACGGGGUUUCACCUUGUUGAUCAGAUGGUCUCGAUCUCUUGACCUCGUGAUCCACCCGCCUAGGCCUCCCAAAGUGCUGGGAUUAUAGGCGUGAGCCACCGCGCCCGGCCUCCUAUUCCCUUCUUGUAAUGACUUCUGGUUGGAAAGAUUACUCUGGUCCCUGACAUUUGCUGUUCAGUCAGUGUUCGUUGUUACUAUCUCUUUCCAUUGUUUAAGGGAUAGCUGAGAAGACAGGGAGAGCCUGAGCUGGUUUUCUCCUAAACAAAGGAGCUGGGAGUGGGGAUGAAUGUGUGAAGGGAAGGAGGGCCCAUGCAAGGUAAAAGAGGGUGUUGGGGAAGGGGCUUCAUGCUAGAAUUUGGCUGCUAAUCCAGCGGGCACUCAUGAGGCUGUGAUUUGCAAAGUCCACUGUAAAAAGAAAACAAAACUUCACUACACUAAGUUUAUGCCAAGGGGGAAGUUAAACCUUGGAGACUGAGUCAUGUAGCAUGUUUGCAAUUCUGCUUCUUACAACUCUCUUCCUCAUUGCUCUUGUUCUGUAAUGAGACCUCCUUUCCAAUCACUGAUCUUUGUUGUAGAUAACUGCCUCUGUUAUUGUCCUGCACUUGACUCAACAUAUGGUACCCAAGACCCAUGACUAUUGCAUCAUUAGUAUGGAAUGUGAAAAAUAUCUUUCCCCAAGGAAAAAAAGAACACACAUUGACUAAUCAGAUCAUUGUAACUGUGCAAUAAGCCUUACUAUAGAACGAUGUUGAAACUCUGCUAAGCUUCCGUGAACUUUAUGUCUAUAUAAAUGAUCCCAAACUUCUACACUUUGGAACACAGACUUCUAUUCUUUGGAAUCUGUGCCUCUAGGUGGACCACUUCCUCAACAUUUGCACUUGGAUAAACUUCUUAAACUAGAUCCUAAGCCUGGCACAGUGGUAUAUGCCUGCAGUCCCUGCUACUCUAGGAGGCUGAGGCAGGAGGAUCCCUUGAGCCUAGGAGUCUGAAUCUAACCUGGGCAACAUAGAAAUACUCCAUCUCUAAAACAAAGAUAACAACACUAGAUUCUGGCCCUUUUUUUUCCCCUUUGAGAUGGAGUCUUACUCUGUCACCCAGGCUGGAGCACAGUGGUGUGAUCUUGCCUCACUGCAACCUCAGCCUCCCAAGUUGAAGCAAUUCUCCUGCCUCAGUCUCUUGAGUUGCUGAGGCUACAUGUGUGGGCCACCACAUGCAGCUAAUUUUUUUAUUUUUAGUAGAGACAGGGUUUCACCAUUUGACCAGGCUGGUCUUGAACUCCUGAGCUCAGGUGAUCCACUUGCUUUGGCUUCCCAACGUGCUGUGAUUACAGGCAUGAGCCACCUCGUCCAGUCUAGAUUCUGAUCUUUUUAAUUAUUAUAUUUUAGAUUGACACCACUUGCCCUGAUUUGUUAUUUUAUUUUUUUUUUGAGGCAGAAUCUCACUUUGUUGCCCAGGCUGGAGUGUAUUGGCGUGAUCUCGGCUCACUGAAACCUCUGCCUCCCAGAUUCAAGCGGUUCUCCUACUUCAGCCUCUCAAGUAGCUGGGAUUACAACCACCUGCCAACAGUCUCGGCUAAAUUUUUGUAUUUUUAGUAAAGACAGUGUCUCACCAUGUUGGCCAGGCUGGUCUCAAACUCCUGACCUCAAGUGAUCUGCCCACUUCAGCCUCCCAAAGUGGUAGGAUUAUAGGUGUGAGCCUCCACACCCAGGCAACUUGACCCAAUUUUUAAACAACUAAUUAUUUUUAAAAAAUACUUUCAGGCUGGGUGCGGUGGCUCACACCUGUAAUCCCAGCACUUAGGCUGAGGUGGGUGGAUCACGAGGUCUAGAGAUGGAGACUAUCCUGGCCAACAUGGUGAAACCCAUGUCUACUAGAAAUACAAAAAUUAACUGGGUGUGCUGGUGCGUGCCUGUAGUCCUAGCUACUCAGGAGGCUGAGGCAGGAGAAUCAUGUGAAACUGGGAGGCAGAGGUUGCAGUGAGGUGAGAUCAUGCCACUGCACUCCAGCCUGGGUGACACAGCAAGAUUCCAUCUCAAAAAAAGAAAAAGAAAAAGAAAAAAAAUUUCCUCACAGAGUAGGGCUAACGCAUAGGCAGCAUGCCCAGAGUCAGCCCACUUUGUCCCAUUGGUACAAACAAGCUGUUUCCUUUUUCAGUCUCCUGCCACUUCUCUCAAUCUCUGUGUAUUUAAAGAAAAAAAAAAAGCUGGGGAAAAAAGGUUCUUCAACUCAUUCUGCAAUCUUGAUGUACAUAUCAUUCAUUUUAGCUGGACACUAGCACUGGUUUAAAAGUUCUGACUUUGGGAUGCCGAGGCGGGUAGAUCACGAGAUCAAGAGAUCGAGACCAUCCUAGUUAACAGGAGCGAAACUCUGUAUCAAAAAAAAAAAAAGUUCUGACCCUGCUUUUCAAACUUGAACGUAUUACAAAUCACCUGGAAGGCAUGUUAAGGUCUGGUGGCCGCAGCCCCAGAGCUUCUGAUCCCAUGGGUCUAUGAAGAGUGAAAGAGGGAAAGGUUAAGAUUUUUUUUUGAAGGUUUUUUGUUUUGGUUUUGUUUUUUUUUUGAGAUGGAGUUUCGCUGUUGUUACCCAGGCUGGAGUGCAAUGGCACGAUCUCGGCUCACCGCAACCUCCGCCUCCUGGGUUCAAGCAAUUCUCCUGCCUCAGCCUCCCAAGUAGCUGGGAUUACAGGCGCGCACCACCAUGCCCAGCUAAUUUUUGUAUUUUUAGCAGAGACGGGGUUUCACCUUGUUGACCAGGAUGGUCUCGAUCUCUUGACCUCGUGAUCCACCCGCCUCGGCCUCCCAAAGUGCUGGAAUUAUAGGCAUGAGCCACGGCGCCUGGGCUUGGUUUUGUUUUUUGGAGAUGAUGUCUCUGUCACUUAGGUUGGCGUGCAGUGGUACAAUCAUAGCUCACCACUGCUUCGAACUCCUAGGCUCAAAGUAAUCAAACCAUUAUCCCACGUAGCUAGGACUAUAGGUGUGCAUUACCAUGCCUGGCUAAUUUUUUUUUUCCCAUGCCUGCCCACCUGGCCAAUUUUUAAAUUUUCUUUUUGAGACGGAGUCUCACUCUCACCCAGGCUGGAGUGCAGUGGUGUGAUCUCGGCUCACUGCAACCUCCGCUUCCUGGGUUCAAGUGAGUCUCCUGCCUCAGCCUCCCAAGUACCUGGGACUACAGGAGCGUGCCACCACACCCAGCUAAUUUUGUGUAUUUUUAGUAGAGAUGGGGUUUCACCAUGUUAGCCAGGAUGGUCUCAAUCUCCUGACCUCAUGAUCUGCCCGCCUCGGCCUCCCAAAGUGCUGGGAUUACAGGUGUGAGCCACCAUGUCCAGCCUAAUUUUAAAAUUUUAAAAUUUAAAAUUUUUAAAUUUUUUAGACAAGGGGUCUCGCUAUGUUGCCCAGGCUGCCCUUGAAUUUGAUCAUCCUGCCUCUGUCUCCCGAAGUGCUAGGAUUACAGAUCUGAACCAUCACACCUCACCAGGAAGGUGGUGUCUCUCUCUCAAGCCUCCUGCUACUUCUAUUUCUACCAGGCAGUGGUUCUGAGAUGGGAGACCCCCUUGCGUCCUUCAAUUUCACCUCCUCCCUCUCCUUCCCCCUUCCAGAUGGGAAGGAGGGUGAAGAAGAAAAAAAAAUGAAAGAGAAUACUGAAGAGCUGGGAAAAUGAUUCCCUUUUUGGUUCCCAGUGUCUCUGCUCUCAGUUAACCUUGAAAGAGCUGCAAAUCAAUGUUAUCCCUGCCAGCUGGAGCCCGGCACUGGUUCACACCCCCAUGUCUCCAUGGACCAGGCUCCCUCCUGGAAACACCUCUGCCAACAGACAGCUUGUUGCUUUUGUCUUGUCUCUGUAAGCCCCCUCCCCUGACAGUCCCCACUCAAGCUGCAUAUGAAUUAGCAAAUCAAUGAAGCCAAGAGAUUGUAAGGUUGGACAUGCAGCAAAUGGACAGACAUAGUUUUGCCUCAGUUUGCCCUUUAGCAUUGUAAGCCUAUAAAAGGGGAGAGAAGCGGCUGCUUGGGGAGCUCAGUGAAUAAGGCUGUAGUCCCCGCAGCUCCUGGCUGAAGAAAAAUCCACUUCCUUCCUCAGUUUGGUGUUCGAGAAGUUUGUUCCCUGAUGCUCCUGCUUCAGGUCAUGGAUCAGACAUUCAGAGUGUCAUUUCCUCUCUGUAUUCCACUAUUUCUGGUAAAUAAAAUUGUCAGCAAAACUUUGUAAGAUGUGCAGUGUUCAUUUAUUUAGAGACAAGAGUCUCACUCUGUUACCCAGGCUUAUGCAUCGAUCAUUGCUUAUGCAGCCUCUAACUCCUGGGCUCAAGUGGUCCUCCUGUCUCAGCUUCCUGAGUAGUGUGGACUACAGGCAUACACCACCAUGCUCAGUUAGUUUUAUUUUUUUAUGGAGAUGGCGUCUCACUAUGUUGCCCAGGCUGAUCUCAAACUCCUGGCCUCAAGUGAUCCUCCCGCCUCAGUCUCCCAAAAUACUGAGAUUAUAGACAUGAGCCACUGAACCCGGUGACAGUUUUUAGUGGUAUUAGACAUGCAGCUGACAUCCUAAUUGCUGCAGAUGCUGUAUUCUCUUCUUCCUUGCUUCACCUCUGUUUACUGCUCUGCAUUAGAAAGGCCAACCCCACAACCACAGUACCUAUAUUGCUCUACCCCUGCUUCCCACAGGCCCUCUGUAUGUGUGUCCCAUGAAGAAACUAUGUGGUUUCCAAGGGAAAGUAUUAUAUCAGUUUACUCUCAAAACUGCUAAUUAAAGGGGAAAACUAAGCAUUUAUCCUGCCUUUCCCAUAUAAAUCACGUUUUGGGGUAAUCAGGGUAACCAAAUAGCCUUGAUGAAUUUUAUUUUAUUUUUGAGAUAGAGUCUUGCUCUGUCACCCAGGCUGGAGUGCAGUGGUGUGAUCUCAGCUCCCUGCAACCUCUGCCUCCCUGGCUCUAGUGAUUCUUGUGCCUCAGCCUCCUGAGUAGCUGGGGCUACAGGCAUGUACCACCAUGCUCAGCUAACUUUUGUAUUUUUUUUUUUUUUGAGAUGGAGUCUUGCUCUGUCACCCAGGUUGGAGUGCAAUGGGGCCAUCUUGGCUCACUGCAACCUUCCGCCUCCUGGGUUCAAGUGAUUAUCCUGCCUCAGCCUCCUGAGUAGCUAGGAUUACAGGUGUCCACCACCAUGCCUGGCUAAUUUUUUGUAUUUUUAGUAGAGACAAGGUUUCAGCAUGUUGGCCAGCCUGGUGUUGAACUCCUGAGCUCAGGUGAUCCACACACCUCAGGCUCCCAAAGUGCUGGGAUUAUAGGCAUAAGCCACUGUGCCUGACCUAAUUUUUGUAUUUUUUAGUAGCUAUGAGGUUUUGCCAUAUUAGCCAGGCUGGUCUCAGACUCCUUAGCUCAGAUGAUCUGCCAUCUAGGCCUCCCAAAGUGCUAGGAUUACAGUCAUGAGCCACCGCACCCAGCUGAUGAGCUUUUUACUGAGGAAUUCCAACUAAUAAAUGAAGAAAUAACAGAAUUUCAAAAUCACCUUUUUGCAACCCCUCAUGAAAUAACUGAAUCAGACAAAACUCAUCUGUGUAUCAAACUGUCAGUUGAAAGGUUGAUGUGCAGGUGUGGUGGCUCACGCCUGUAAUCCCAGCACUUUGGGAGGCUGAGGCAAGUGGAUCAUCUGAGGUCAGGAGUUCAAGACCAGCCUGGCCAACAUGGUGAAACCCCAUCUCUACUAAAAAUACAAAAAUUAGCCAGGCAUGGUGCUGUGUGCCUGUAAUCCCAGCUACUCAGGAGGCUGAGGCAGGAGAAUCACUUGAACCUGGGAGGCGGAGGUUGCAGUGAGCUGAGAUCGCACCACUGCACUAGAGCCUAAGUGACAGAGCGAGACUCCAAUCUCAAAAAAAAGGAAGGUUGAUGGGGAAACUCCCGAGAGAGGAAAUUUCCAGGAGAGUCAGGCUAUGAACCCACUUCUCAAUCACAGCUUAACUCAGAGGGACAAGCAGUGCAGGUACAAUAGGAAGCACUUAGGAAGGACUCUUGCUCCUCCAAAAUGGAAUCUGAAUCCAAUCAAAUCUUCAGAGGUUUAAUAACUGAAAAUACAAGGGAUGAAGGAAGAAAUUAAAUGACACUGACAAAGCAAACUGACAAAUCGGGAGAGUGGGACGUUCUACAGGACAAAUAACCCUGUUUCUGGACUACUGUAGAUAAGUGAUUUAAGAGACAUCAAAGUGCAAUGUGAGCCAAGUGUGGUGGUACAUGCCCAGGAGUUAGAGACCAGCCUGGACAACAGUGAGACCCUGUCUCUACAACAAGAAAAAUAAAAGCCAAUGUAUAGAUUCUCUUUGGAUCCUGAUUCAAACAAAUCAGCUAUAAAUAUUUUUGAGACAUUUGAUGUAAUUUGGAUAAUGACAGUAUUAUAAGAUGACACAGAGGUAUUGUUAAUUUUUUGGGGUCUGCAUUGGCAUUAUGGUUAUAUAACCAAAAGUUCAUUUUGUUGUUAUUAUUUUUGUGAGUCAGAAUCUCCCUCUGUUGCCCAGGCUGGAGUACAAUGGCGCUAUCUUGGCUUACUGCAACCUCCACCUCCUGGGUUCAAGUGAUUCUCCUGCCUCAGCCUCCCAAGUAGCUGGGAUUACGUAUGCACACCACUACUCCUAAUUUUUGUAUUUUUAGUAGAGACAGGGUUUCACCAUGUUUGUCAGGCUGGUCUCAAACUCCUGAUCUUGUGAUCCGUCCACCUCGGCCUCCCAGAGUGCUGGGAUUACUGGUGUAAGCCACUGUGCCUGGCCUCAUUUUACUAUUUUACUUUAUUUUGAGAUGGAGUCUCACUCUGUGUCCAGGCUGGAGUACAGUGGCACCAUCUUGGCUCACUGCAGCCUCUGCCUUCUGGGUUCAUGCGAUUCUCCUGUCUCAUCCUCCUGAGUUGCUGGGAUUACAGGUGCCCGCCACCAUGCCCUGCUAUUUUUUGGUAGAGAUGGAGUUUUGCCAUGUUGGCCAGGCUGGUCUCAAACUCCUCACCUCAGGUGAUCCACCUGCCUCAGCCUCCCAAAGUGCUGGGAUUAUAGGCAUGAGCCGCUGCACCCGGCCAAAAGUUCAUUUUAAAGAAUGAGAUGCAUACUUAAUAAUGUAGGGGAAAAUGUCAUGAGGUCUGGGAUUUUCUUUUUUUUUCUGAGACAGAGUCUGGCUCUGUGCCAGGCUGGAGUGCAGUAGUACGAUCUCAGCUCACUGCAACCUCCGUCUCCCAGGUUCAAGUGAUUCCCUGCCUCAGCCUCCUGAAUAGCUAGGACUAUAGGCGCACCACCAUACCCGACUAUUUUUGUUUGUUUGUUUGUUUUUUUUGUAUUUUAGUAGAGAUGGGAUCUCACCAUGACCAGGAUGGUCUUGAUCUCCUGACCUUGCACUUCGCCCACCUUGGCCUCCCAAAGUGCUGGGAUUACAGGUGUGAGCCACUAUGCCCCGCCCUGGAAUUUGCUUUAAAAUACUUCAGCAAAAGAAAGGAAAAGAAAAAAGGAACAGAAGCAAAUGUGCCAACACCUUGAUAACUGCUGGAACUGGACGUUGGGUACAUGGGGUUCACUAAACUAUUUUCUCUACUUUUGUGUGGUUUUACAAAUGUCUCUAAAUAAAAAAAAUUACAUAUUACAUUACUGAUCACAAAUUCUGGAUAAAAUAUCACAAAAUUUAUGCCAUGCCUUGACAUAUUCUACUACUUGCAUCAGAUAGAAUAAAUUACCAAAACAUUCUUAGAGAAGCAAUUGAAAGUAAAACAAAUCUCUAACUGCAAAUGAAUGUGGCCCUCAGCCCACAGUCUUUAACAGGCUGGAGUGCAGUGGUGCGAUCUCAGCUCAUUACAACCUCUGCCUCCCGGUUUCAAGCAAUUCUCCUGCCUCAGCCUCCCAAAUAAAUGGGAUUACAGGCACCUGCCACCACGCCUGGCUAAUUUUUAUAUUUUUAGUAGAGAUGGGGUUUCAUUAUGUUGGCCAGGCUGGUCUGGAACUCCUGACCUCGUGAUCCACCUGCCUUGGCCUCUCAAAGUGCUGGGAUUACAGGUAUGAGCCAGCAUGCCCAGCCCCUUUUAAAUUUCUUAACAUCUCAUCUAGGCACUGGAUUUUCCUAACACGUGGAGGAAAGCAAGGGCUCUCUCACUCACCUAAGGCUGCCCAGAGUCUUUUCAUAAGCAUCUGCCUGAGGAGUAUUUUCUUAUAUAAUCUGCCAUAGGAAGUGUUCACUUCCCUGUCAGGCCAGCUGGGACAGGAUUCUUAUCUGCAUUUCACACACUUGUACCCUAUUUCAUGGAGAAUAGUAUCCUAACCUAUGUUAGAAAUAUAAAAGAGUGGCUGGGUGCGGUGGCUCACGCCUGUAAUCCUAGCACUUUGGGAGGCCGAGGUGGGUGGAUCACCUGAGGUCAGGAGUUCAAGACCAACCUGGCCAUCAUGGUGAAACCCCAUCUUAAAAAGAAAAAAAAAAAUUAAGAAAAAAAAAGGAAAAAAAAAAUAUAUAAAACAGUGUGGGUUUUAAAAUACCUUACAGGCUGGGUGUGGUGGCUCAAGCCUAUAAUUCCAGCACUUGGAGAGAACAAGGCAGGCAGAUUGCUUGAGCUCAGGACUCUGAGAACAGCCUAUGCAAUAUAGUGAAACUUUGUACUAAAAAUUUAAAAAAUCAGCUGGGCAUGGUGGCACACCCUACGUGGUAGGCUGAGGUGGGAGGAUCACCAGGAGAUUGAAGCUACAGUGAGCUGUGAUAGCACCACUGCACUCCAGCCAGGGUGACAGCGUGAGACCUUAUCUCAAAAACAAAAACAAUCUUAUGGCGCUCCCUUCAAACUCAUUACACCUAGGAAGAUCAGCCUGUUUCUCUGUGAUAAGAAGGACUGUGGCCAGGCAUGGCAGCUCAUAGCUGUAACCUCAGCACUUUGGGAAGCUGAAGCAAGAGGACUGCUUAAGUGCAGGAGUUCCAUUCUAGCCUGGCAACAUAGCACAACCUUGCCUCUAUUAAAAAUAAAAUUAAAAAAAAUUAACCAGGCAUUGUGUCAUGAACCUGUAGUCCCAGAUACUAUGGAGGCUGAUAUCCGAGGAUCACUUG